GUGUUGUGUCUGAAUAUACUCGUCUGGCAUUACUUGAGACUCAGAAAGGAAAUCAAGCCACGGAAUCACCUAGAACGCAUAAGUUGUCACACAAGACUGAUUCUUUAAAAGUGGAUUCUCAAGGCUGCAGAAGAAUAUUGCUACCAAACCUUUGUGUUGGCUUUGGCAAUUUGACAGCAACAGCUGAAAACAUUCCUCCUGGAGCAGAAGAAACAAAGUUGCCAGAGGCAGCUGAAAUCAUCAUCAGGGCA
rnacentral:misc_RNA from 1 species